rnacentral:lncRNA from 1 species
UCCGUUUUCUUCUCUGACGUUGACUUGCGUCGGCAAGUUCUAAACCAAUCCAACACCUUUAAAUACCUCGGUUGACUUCGUAUUAUCGAGACAAAACCUUACUUAUCCUUCGAUUUGAGUUUGCUCGAGUUUUAGUGGUGAUUCAAGGCUCACCGGAGCCCGGGUUCGUCGUCGCCGGAUUCUGGAAAUUUGACUGGAAAAAUGAAUUUCUAUGUGGGUGGUAAAUAUCCAGUUUAGUCCCUGAACUUUAAUACUUCCAGUUUAGUACCUAAACUAUCUUAUUUUUUCUAUGCAGUCUGUAACUUUUAAAUUAUUCCAGCCACGGCCCAAUACUUUCUAGCUAUUGCAGUUUGGCCCGAAAGUUUUGGGUUAAGCCAUAAUUGUUC